GACGAACGCUGGCGGCGUGCUUAACACAUGCAAGUCGAGCGGGGAGAUUGCCUUCGGGUGAUCUUCUAGCGGCGGACGGGUGAGUAACGCGUGAGCAACCUUUCCUCUACUGGGGAAUAACACCGGGAAACUGGUACUAAUACCGCAUGAGACCACAGAGUCGCAUGGCUUAGGGGUCAAAGAUUUAUUGGUAGAGGGUGGGCUCGCGUCUGAUUACGUAGU
rnacentral:rRNA from 1 species